AACGAACGCUGGCGGCAGGCCUAACACAUGCAAGUCGAGCGAGGACUUCGGUCCUAGCGGCGGACGGGUGAGUAACGCGUGGGAACGUGCCCUUUGCUUCGGAAUAGCCCUGGGAAACUGGGAGUAAUACCGAAUGUGCCCUUUGGGGGAAAGAUUUAUCGGCAAAGGAUCGGCCCGCGUUGGAUUAGGUAGUUGGUGGGGGUAAUGGCCUACCAAGCCGACGAUCCAUAGCUGGUUUGAGAGGAUGAUCAGCCACACUGGGACUGAGACACGGCCCAGACUCCUACGGGAGGCAGCAGUGGGGAAUAUUGGACAAUGGGCGCAAGCCUGAUCCAGCAAUGCCGCGUGUGUGAAGAAGGCCUGCGGGUUGUAAAGCACUUUCAGUGGGGAAGAACGGAUACGGGCCAAUACCCCGCAUCACUGACGUUACCCACAGAAGAAGCACCGGCUAACUCCGUGCCAGCA
rnacentral:rRNA from 1 species